GGCCUACCAUGGUUUUAACGGGUAACGGGGAAUUAGGGUUCGAUUCCGGAGAGGGAGCCUGAGAAACGGCUACCACAUCCAAGGAAGGCAGCAGGCGCGCAAAUUACCCAAUCCCGACACGGGGAGGUAGUGACAAUAAAUAACAAUACGGGGCUCAUUUGGGUCUCGUAAUUGGAAUGAGUACAAUUUAAAUCUCUUAGCGAGGAACAAUUGGAGGGCAAGUCUGGUGCCAGCAGCCGCGGUAAUUCCAGCUCCAAUAGCGUAUAUUAAAGUUGUUGCAGUUAAAAAGCUCGUAGUUGAACUUCGGGGUUCACCCAUUGGUCAGGCUUAAUUGUCUGUACUGGUGAGAUGAGUCUCUACCUUCUGAGGAACUUUCAUGCCAUUUAUUUGGUGUGGUUGGAAAUCAGGACUGUUACUUUGAAAAAAUUAGAGUGUUUAAAGCAGGCUAACGUCUGAAUACAUUAGCAUGGAAUAAUGAAAUAGGACGGAUUGAUUCUAUUUCGUUGGUUUCUAGGGUCACCGUAAUGAUUAAUAGGGAUAGUUGGGGGCAUUAGUAUUCAAUUGUCAGAGGUGAAAUUCUUGGAUUUAUUGAAGACUAACUACUGCGAAAGCAUUUGCCAAGGAUGUUUUCAUUAAUCAAGAACGAAAGUUAGGGGAUCGAAGACGAUCAGAUACCGUCGUAGUCUUAACCAUAAACUAUGCCGACUAGGGAUCGGACGCAGUUAAUUUUAUAAUGACGUGUUCGGCACCUUACG
rnacentral:rRNA from 1 species